CCCUUAGAUGUUCGGGGCCGCACGCGCGCUACACUGAAGGAAUCAGCACGUCUUUCUCCUUGUCCGAAAGGACUGGGUAACCCGCUGAACCUCCUUCGUGCUAGGGAUUGGGGCUUGUAAUUCUUCCCCAUGAACGAGGAAUUCCCAGUAAGCGCGAGUCAUAAGCUCGCGUUGAUUACGUCCCUGCCCUUUGUACACACCGCCCGUCGCUACUACCGAUUGGAUGGUUUAGUGAGAUCCUCGGAUUGGUCCCGGCGCGGCCUCUGGUCGUGCCGGAGUGCCGAAAAGAAUGUCGAACUUGAUCAUCUAGAGGGAGUAAAAGUCGUAACA
rnacentral:rRNA from 1 species